AAUUAGCUGGGAUGGCGCUAUGCGCAAUUCUUUUUCCAUUUACGCGGGAAAUGUUAUUGAGUAAUGGCGUCUUAAUAGUUUCUGUGUUCGCAACGUGGUAAAAUUUUAUAAUUAUUGUAAAGAAGAUUCAAGAAAAUAAGAUUCAUACACAAUUCAAAUCUUUCAUUGAAACAAUUCAUCACGUAGACAACGUUCACAUUCGAGCUAUCUAUAAGAAAUUAAUACAAAAUCAGGACACAACAUGUGGUGUGGGUGCUUUUACCAAUUAAACGCAAGAUUGGAAAACUACGUCGCACGAAUUUCAUCCUUACUAGAUGGUUUUAACCAUUUUACACGAGAUUGACUCAUAGAAACAUAGAAUCAUUCGACUGAAACAGAUUUUUACCAAUCGCGCUUCCCACGAAUCCCUUCCGCAACACUUAACCGAGACGAUCCUCCUUUUCUCGCGUGUUUGCAACAAUCUUGGAACGGAAAACGAGCGGAACCCAACAAUAUACUUAAACGAUGCAGCCAUAGUGAACUGUGGUCGAAGGGAAACAGUACCUGUAACGUAACGACUGCUGUCACUUGAAACGUUCAUUCGUUUCCUCCGAAGGAGAUCAGGUUGAUGGAUGAAGAUCCACGUUAAAAGACCAGUUAAAGGAUAUAAAUGGGAUGAAAUAGGUUCCGGAGACGUUCCUCCAUAGGCAACAUUUUAUUCGGCCAUUCGAGUGUAUUCCUGAUAUUCGUCAUAAUUAAUUUCUUCGCUGCUUCCCCCCGCGAGCUGGAAUAAUACGCCCGUUUCGUGAUUCUUUUUAUAACUUUUAAAUUAAUACCGAACACCACUUUGAACUGAUCUUUCUUUCGUGACGGUUCUUUUGAAGGAAAAAUACGCGACGCACUGGUGGGAAUUAACUCCUCCCCCACGAGUAUUAUCCGGCUCGAGUUAAACGAUUUAACGAAUCACGAAUUACCGUUCGAUUUUCAUUCCCCUUUGAUCUAUGUUACACGAUAUUAUCAACGAGAAAAGAGAAAUUUAUUCGACGCUGUGAACUUGUGUUUGACAAUCUCGUUGUUUAUAAAUAGGAUCCAAUUUUAAUAGCGUUCGAUGGAAAUAUAGAGAACGAAAAUCGUUCCGUAUCAAACUUCGAUUAAAUUUUUUAAUACCGGAAUCUGUCUUGCGUCCCUUAUUUUUCUCUUGAUCGAAAAAUAUUAAUAUUUAACUUUUAAGAUUACUAUUACCACUCGAUAUUCAAUAGACAGUGUAUCAAAGGCUUUAAAAUUUUUAACCCUAAAUCUACUCGAUCGCGAGGCAAUUAUUUCUCUUCUAUUUAUCCAUCGUGUCUAUAAAACACGCGUGCACAACGAUUAAUCCGCUCAGUCGACAAUGGACAACGCGACGCUAUUUUUCCACAACCCCAGGGACCAUGGAACAAAUAUUCCAUGCGACCAAUUAAAAUUGCGAUGAAAUUGGUAACCUAAUCUUCUCCCUGUUUCUGAUUAAUUUUUUUUCAAAAUCGAACACGGCGAAGAAUGACAUCGUAAAUCGCGAUAUUCCUAAAUAACGAGUUCACAGACGUGAACCGUGUUAAACUACUGUCUAACUAUUCGAUCGUUAUCACCGGUAUCGCUUGUCGAACGCGUCGAGGCUCGAGUUAUCGAUGGAACAAGAUCGAGUCGUUUCUCCUCCUAUUCUCGCAACAAAUUAUGCGAUUACGUUUAUUACCGCGUGGUCGGUUAACGAGCAAAACGGCGUAAGAAAAAAAUCGUUGGCCAAAAAAGGGUUGCUCCCUCGAAAGCCGUGACAAAUCAUCGUCCCUUGUUCGGUGAACGCGAAUCACCCCCGGAGGGUUAGAGGCAUGGAAAGAACGCACAGGCCUCGACCUGUCUGAACAAAUACGGUCUCUAAUUUACAUUUUAAUGGAUCUAAAUUGAAAUCUGCUGGACGCUAGGCUCAAGAUAAAUCGUCGGGGAGGUUACACAGGCUAUUUACUUUUUAUCCUUGGUUGGUGACUGGCGUGACCAUGUUCGUAUCUGAUUUCUUUUUUUUUUUUAGAAGUUGCUCUUUCGAACGCGUGUCGAGGAUAUAAUUAUCAGGUAAACAGGUGAAAGAUGCGGGGAAUAUUAGAAAAAAAGAAAUUUUAAUUUCUCGAUGGGGAAAAAAAUUAUAAGUAAGAUUAAGAUUUUAACGUUAAAGUUAUGAUUUAAGAUAAAUGGAAAUUCAUAGCGUGUUUAUUUUUAUCGAAACGUUUACGUUUCAGGAAUUUUAAUGUUAUUAUGAUUCGUUCUUAAAGUAAUUGAUUAUCAACAGUUAAUGAUUUAACCACUACAUAGUUGGUAUGCAUUAAUGUUUAGUAAGUUCUGACAGCGUUAUAGUAAUUUAUUAAUAAGCCGCAGAGGAAGUUCGAUAGGGCAUUCAAUGUUUAACAAGUUUCUAGUUUGCACGUUUUAAUGAAUGCGAAUAAUUAACAACCUCUGAUAUUAUAAGUUGUCGAUAAAAUUUUCUAUAUAACGUUUGCACGAUCUUUAAAGCGUCGUAUCAAACGUAUCGAAUCGAUUAUACUCUCGCAACUUUUAAUUACAUUGUUAAUUAUCUUAUCUUUAAAAUGUCAUUCCCUCUGGAUGAAAAUAGAAUAGAAGAUCGAUAAAAA